rnacentral:rRNA from 1 species
CCUACGGGUGGCAGCAGUGGGGAAUAUUGCGCAAUGGGCGAAAGCCUGACGCAGCGACGCCGCGUGAGGGAUGAAGGUCUUCGGAUCGUAAACCUCUGUCAGCAGGGAAGAACGGGCACUGUGCUAAUCAGCAGUGAAUUGACGGUACCUGCAAAGGAAGCACCGGCUAACUCCGUGCCAGCAGCCGCGGUAAUGCGGAGGGUGCGAGCGUUAAUCGGAAUUACUGGGCGUAAAGCGCGCGUAGGCGGGAUGUCAAGUCAAGGGUGAAAUCCCCGCGCUCAACGUGGGAACUGCCGUUGAAACUGGCAAACUGGAGUGUGGGAGAGGAUAGUGGAAUUCGAGGUGUAGGGGUGAAAUGCGUAGAUAUCUGGAGGAACAUCAGUGGCGAAGGCGACUAUCUGGCACAUAACUGACGCUGAGGAGCGAAAGCGUGGGUAGCAAACAGGAUUAGAUACCCCGGUAGUC